rnacentral:rRNA from 1 species
GACGGAAGGUGCAAGCGUUGCUCGGAAUCACUGGGCGUAAAGGGUGCGUAGGCGGCCGUGUAAGUCUGGCGUGAAAGCCCCGGGCUCAGCCCGGGAAGUGCGCUCGAAACUGCGCGGCUCGAGUGCCGGAGGGGAGAGUGGAAUUCCUGGUGUAGCGGUGAAAUGCGUAGAUAUCAGGAGGAAUACCGGUGGCGAAAGCGACUCUCUGG